AACGAACGCUGGCGGCAGGCCUAACACAUGCAAGUCGAGCGCCCCGCAAGGGGAGCGGCAGACGGGUGAGUAACGCGUGGGAACGUACCCUUUGGUUCGGAAUAACGCAGAGAAAUUUGCGCUAAUACCGAAUGAGCCCUUAGGGGGAAAGAUUUAUCGCCGAAAGAUCGGCCCGCGUUGGAGUAGGUAGUUGGUGUGGUAAAGGCGCACCAAGCCUACGAUCCAUAGCUGGUCUGAGAGGAUGACCAGCCACACUGGGACUGAGACACGGCCCAGACUCCUCAGGGAGGCAGCAGUGGGGAAUCUUGCGCAAUGGGCGAAAGCCUGACGCAGCCAUGCCGCGUGAAUGAUGAAGGUCUUAGGAUUGUAAAAUUCUUUUACCAGGGACGAUAAUGACGGUACCUGGAGAAAAAGCCCCGGCUAACUUCGUGCCAGCCGCCGCCGUAAAAC
rnacentral:rRNA from 1 species